rnacentral:rRNA from 1 species
UACAGAGGUCCCAAGCGUUGUUCGGAUUCACUGGGCGUAAAGGGUGCGUAGGUGGUGAGGUAAGUCGGAUGUGAAAUCUCCACGCUUAACGUGGAGGGGCCAUUCGAAACUGCUGUGACUCGAGUCCGGUAGGGGAGUGUGGAAUUCCCGGUGUAGCGGUGAAAUGCGCAGAUAUCGGGAGGAACACCAGUAGCGAAGGCGGCACUCUGGGCCGGUACUGACGCUGAGGAGCGAAAGCGUGGGGAGCGAACAGG